rnacentral:rRNA from 1 species
UAAGGAAUAUUGGUCAAUGGACGGAAGUCUGAACCAGCCAUGCCGCGUGCAGGAAGACGGCCCUACGGGUUGUAAACUGCUUUUACAGGGGAAUAAACCUCAUUACGUGUAAUGAGCUGAAUGUACUCUGAGAAUAAGGAUCGGCUAACUCCGUGCCAGCAGCCGCGGUAAUACGGAGGAUCCGAGCGUUAUCCGGAUUUAUUGGGUUUAAAGGGUGCGUAGGUGGCCUGUUAAGUCAGGGGUGAAAGACGGUAGCUCAACUAUCGCAGUGCCCUUGAUACUGAUGGGCUUGAAUGAACUAGAGGUAGGCGGAAUGUGACAAGUAGCGGUGAAAUGCAUAGAUAUGUCACAGAACACCAAUUGCGAAGGCAGCUUACUAUGGUUUUAUUGACACUGAGGCACGAAAGCGUGGGGAUCAAACA